rnacentral:rRNA from 1 species
GACGAACGCUGGCGGCGUGCCUAACACAUGCAAGUCGAACGGUAAGGCCCUUCGGGGUACACGAGUGGCGAACGGGUGAGUAACACGUGGGUGAUCUGCCCUGCACUUCGGGAUAAGCCUGGGAAACUGGGUCUAAUACCGGAUAGGACUCCUGGCUUCAUGGUUGGGGGUGGAAAGCUUUUGCGGUGUGGGAUGGGCCCGCGGCCUAUCAGCUUGUUGGUGGGGUGAUGGCCUACCAAGGCGACGACGGGUAGCCGGCCUGAGAGGGUGACCGGCCACACCGGGACUGAGAUACGGCCCAGACUCCUACGGGAGGCAGCAGUGGGGAAUAUUGCACAAUGGGCGCAAGCCUGAUGCAGCGACGCCGCGUGAGGGAUGACGGCCUUCGGGUUGUAAACCUCUUUCAGCACCGACGAAGCGCAAGUGACGGUAGGUGCAGAAGAAGGACCGGCCAACUACGUGCCAGCCGCCGCCGUAA